rnacentral:rRNA from 1 species
GGGUUGUGAGGUUAAGCGACUAAGCGUACACGGUGGAUGCCCUGGCAGUCAGAGGCGAUGAAGGACGUGCUAAUCUGCGAAAAGCGUCGGUAAGGUGAUAUGAACCGUUAUAACCGGCGAUGUCCGAAUGGGGAAACCCAGUGCAAUUCGUUGCACUAUCGUUAACUGAAUACAUAGGUUAACGAGGCGAACCGGGGGAACUGAAACAUCUAAGUACCCCGAGGAAAAGAAAUCAACCGAGAUUCCCCCAGUAGCGGCGAGCGAACGGGGAGCAGCCCAGAGUCUGAAUCAGCUUGUGUGUUAGUGGAACGGUCUGGAAAGUCCGACGGUACAGGGUGAUAGUCCCGUACACCAAAAUGCACAGGCUGUGAACUCGAAGAGUAGGGCGGGACACGUGGUAUCCUGUCUGAAUAUGGGGGGACCAUCCUCCAAGGCUAAAUACUCCUGACUGACCGAUAGUGAACCAGUACCGUGAGGGAAAGGCGAAAAGAACCCCGGCGAGGGGAGUGAAAAAGAACCUGAAACCGUGUACGUACAAGCAGUGGGAGCACCUUCGGGUGUGACUGCGUACCUUUUGUAUAAUGGGUCAGCGACUUAUAUUCUGUAGCAAGGUUAACCGUAUAGGGGAGCCGCAGGGAAACCGAGUCUUAACUGGGCGUUAAGUUGCAGGGUAUAGACCCGAAACCCGGUGAUCUAGCCAUGGGCAGGUUGAAGGUUGGGUAACACUAACUGGAGGACCGAACCGACUAAUGUUGAAAAAUUAGCGGAUGACUUGUGGCUGGGGGUGAAAGGCCAAUCAAACCGGGAGAUAGCUGGUUCUCCCCGAAAGCUAUUUAGGUAGCGCCUCGUGAAUUCAUCUUCGGGGGUAGAGCACUGUUUCGGCUAGGGGGUCAUCCCGACUUACCAACCCGAUGCAAACUACGAAUACCGAAGAAUGUUAUCACGGGAGACACACGGCGGGUGCUAACGUCCGUCGUGAAGAGGGAAACAACCCAGACCGCCAGCUAAGGUCCCAAAGUCAUGGUUAAGUGGGAAACGAUGUGGGAAGGCACAGACAGCCAGGAUGUUGGCUUAGAAGCAGCCAUCAUUUAAAGAAAGCGUAAUAGCUCACUGGUCGAGUCGGCCUGCGCGGAAGAUGUAACGGGGCUAAACCAUGCACCGAAGCUGCGGCAGCGACACUAUGUGUUGUUGGGUAGGGGAGCGUUCUGUAAGCCUGCGAAGGUGUGCUGUGAGGCAUGCUGGAGGUAUCAGAAGUGCGAAUGCUGACAUAAGUAACGAUAAAGCGGGUGAAAAGCCCGCUCGCCGGAAGACCAAGGGUUCCUGUCCAACGUUAAUCGGGGCAGGGUGAGUCGGCCCCUAAGGCGAGGCCGAAAGGCGUAGUCGAUGGGAAACAGGUUAAUAUUCCUGUACUUGGUGUUACUGCGAAGGGGGGACGGAGAAGGCUAUGUUAGCCGGGCGACGGUUGUCCCGGUUUAAGCAUGUAGGCUGGUUGUCCAGGCAAAUCCGGAUAAUCAAGGCUGAGGUGUGAUGACGAGGCACUACGGUGCUGAAGUAACAAAUGCCCUGCUUCCAGGAAAAGCCUCUAAGCAUCAGGUAACAUCAAAUCGUACCCCAAACCGACACAGGUGGUCAGGUAGAGAAUACCAAGGCGCUUGAGAGAACUCGGGUGAAGGAACUAGGCAAAAUGGUGCCGUAACUUCGGGAGAAGGCACGCUGGUGUGUAGGUGAAGUCCCUGCGGAUGGAGCUGAGACCAGUCGAAGAUACCAGCUGGCUGCAACUGUUUAUUAAAAACACAGCACUGUGCAAACACGAAAGUGGACGUAUACGGUGUGACGCCUGCCCGGUGCCGGAAGGUUAAUUGAUGGGGUUAUCCGUAAGGAGAAGCUCUUGAUCGAAGCCCCGGUAAACGGCGGCCGUAACUAUAACGGUCCUAAGGUAGCGAAAUUCCUUGUCGGGUAAGUUCCGACCUGCACGAAUGGCGUAAUGAUGGCCAGGCUGUCUCCACCCGAGACUCAGUGAAAUUGAACUCGCUGUGAAGAUGCAGUGUACCCGCGGCAAGACGGAAAGACCCCGUGAACCUUUACUAUAGCUUGACACUGAACAUUGAGCCUUGAUGUGUAGGAUAGGUGGGAGGCUUUGAAGCGUGGACGCCAGUCUGCGUGGAGCCAACCUUGAAAUACCACCCUUUAAUGUUUGAUGUUCUAACGUUGGCCCCUUACCGGGGUUGCGGACAGUGUCUGGUGGGUAGUUUGACUGGGGCGGUCUCCUCCCAAAGCGUAACGGAGGAGCACGAAGGUUAGCUAAUCCUGGUCGGACAUCAGGAGGUUAGUGCAAUGGCAUAAGCUAGCUUGACUGCGAGCGUGACGGCGCGAGCAGGUGCGAAAGCAGGUCAUAGUGAUCCGGUGGUUCUGAAUGGAAGGGCCAUCGCUCAACGGAUAAAAGGUACUCCGGGGAUAACAGGCUGAUACCGCCCAAGAGUUCAUAUCGACGGCGGUGUUUGGCACCUCGAUGUCGGCUCAUCACAUCCUGGGGCUGAAGUAGGUCCCAAGGGUAUGGCUGUUCGCCAUUUAAAGUGGUACGCGAGCUGGGUUUAGAACGUCGUGAGACAGUUCGGUCCCUAUCUGCCGUGGGCGCUGGAGAAUUGAGGGGGGCUGCUCCUAGUACGAGAGGACCGGAGUGGACGCAUCACUGGUGUUCGGGUUGUCAUGCCAAUGGCACUGCCCGGUAGCUAAAUGCGGAAGAGAUAAGUGCUGAAAGCAUCUAAGCACGAAACUUGCCCCGAGAUGAGUUCUCCCUGAGACUUUAAGUCUCCUGAAGGAACGUUAAAGACGAUGACGUUGAUAGGCCGGGUGUGUAAGCGCAGCGAUGCGUUGAGCUAACCGGUACUAAUGAACCGUGAGGCUUAACCUUACAACGCCGAAG